rnacentral:rRNA from 1 species
UACGAAGGGGGCUAGCGUUGCUCGGAAUGACUGGGCGUAAAGGGCGCGUAGGCGGCUGUGACAGUCAGGCGUGAAAUUCCUGGGCUCAACCUGGGGGGCUGCGCUUGAUACGUUAUGGCUUGAGCGGGGAAGAGGGUCGUGGAAUUCCCAGUGUAGAGGUGAAAUUCGUAGAUAUUGGGAAGAACACCGGUGGCGAAGGCGGCGACCUGGUCCGACACUGACGCUGAGGCGCGAAAGCGUGGGGGAGCAAACAGG